AUGUAUCAUCCGCUACAGGCUUUGCCAGCCGUAUGUUUUUAUUUUUCCCAAAGGGGUACCACGCCAAGGCCCCUCCUCAACUCCAAGGCCAAGACCUCAGAACUGCACAGACGUUUGGGGAGCAAAAAGAAGCAGGCUUCUGACUCAGAUCAGUGCCAAACAGAGCUCAGAGCCAGCUGGAAGACCCUUAAAGAGAGGAGAAGGCCGCAGCAGAGCCUCUCGGGAAUAUCAGUCAACAGGUGCCUGACUAGGGUCCUAAUGUACCCAUUAGGGUCUGCUCCCCAGCCCCCUGUCUCCCAGCCCUGGCAACUCUAAUCUUCAUUCUGUCUCUAUAGAUUUGCUGAUUCUGGGCAUUUCAUAUAAAUGGAAUCAUAGCAUAUGUGCGUUUUUUGUGGGGAGAGGGGACUGACUUCUUGCACUUGGCGUUAUAUUUUCAAACUUCACCCUUGUAGUGUCAGUAUUGAAUUCCUUUCAUUGUUGAAUAAUACUUCACCAUCUGGAUAUGCUAUAUGUUGGUCAUCCAUGCAUCAGUCGAUGGGCAUUUGGCUUGUUUCCACAUUUUGGCUCUUGUGAAUAAUGCUGCUGUGAAAGUUUAUGUACAAGUUUUUGCGUGAAGAUACGGUUCACUUCUCUUAGGUAUAGAUCUUCACCCUGCUUUCAAUUUUUUUAAAUAAAAAAAUUUAUUUUUGUUUUUAAAAAUUAAAAAUUGUAAAAUUUAUUUUAAUUUUAAACUGUAUUAAAUUUUUUAUUCUUGCUUUUUAGCUCUCUUCUGCCAGCCAGCCAAGGAGGACUCUCAUUUGAUUCGGUGGAGCCUGGCCUCUUGGGAAGAGGAACUAACCUGCCUUUCCUCCUUUUCCUCCCUACUCAGCUGUCCUUUCCAAGGACCCCAAGAAGGCUGGGGACUGAGGGAGACAGAGCCUUGCCCUGCAGGUGGCCAGGCAGGCCUGCCACCCUCUUGGCUCAGCUUGGAGUCAUCACCUUUGGUAGUACUUCACCUUUCAUCUUAAUAGAGGGAGAACAAAGAUCGACAUGACUGGUCCCCAGACAAAAACAGACAGAGCAUUUUAAUGAUUAACAUCGUAACACUGUUAUUGGCCUGCGCCAGCCUCCUGCUGGCAUUGGGCAGCACACCCUGCUGUCAGCUCCCCUGUGCCCUAAGCCCUAUGGUGAAGAACAAUUUCAUCAAGAUUCAGUGCUUCUGUGUGAAAGUCCCUGUAUAAGCUAGCUUCUGCAUUAAGAGACUGCCCAGAUGUUCCCAGCAGGUCUAAAACCCUUCCCAGAACCCAGGAGCCCUUUAUACCUGCUUCCAGGUGAUCUGCUGGGCACUUUUCACCUGUUACCUCACUUUUAUCCUCUCAGCCACCCAUCAUAGCAGCUACUAUUAACUCCAUUUUAUAGAUGGAAAACUGAAUCCAAGCCUUAAUCCUUUACUCUCAAGUGCUAUUUCAAGGAAUCUAACAACCCUGAAAUGAAGCGCCCGGAAAUAAAAGAUGCUGCGACACAGCCAGCAGUUUGCCUGCUUCUUAAUCACUUCUUUUGGGGGCUCAUUUUCUUUCUGUCCUCAUAGAAUGCUCCGACGUCUGAAUUCCUGCUCGUCUUCCUUCACCCCUUAUCUAGAGUACAUGCAGAGGGACUUGAGUGUGUCACCUUGAACAGCAUGAUUUGCCGUCUAGUCUUUCAUUCAGGUGCUGAUUGAGGUGUUCAUUUAUUCAUUCACUCCCGGCUCAUUUAUUGAGCUGCUUCUUCACCCAGCACCGGACGCCAUGCCACACAUUGAGGAAACACAGGUUAUGAUCCAAAUCUUUAGAAUCCACAUUGUCUGGUGGAGAAGGCAGAGCUCCAGGAAAGCAGUUUCUAGUUAACAAGGAGAGUGUUCCUAUAGGGGGAUUUGCACUGAAUUGCUGGAACAUAAGGAGUAAAAGCCAACCUGCAGAAAUCAUGGAAGACCUCCCAGAGAAGGUGUCACCAGAGCUGGGAACUGAAGGAUGAACAGGAAUGCGUUUGUUUCUCAUUCAUUCCUACACAGACUGUGCUAGCAGUGUUGGCUUGCCUUCUUAAAGCUUCCUUCAAAGAAGCAGACAUUCUCCAUGUCACACACCUGGCCUUUACUGUCGAUGGCUGUUGAGAUCAGAGACUGACCUUGGACCCCAGGACAGCUGAUUCUCAGGUAGGCCGGUGACCACUGAUUAGCAACCUAGCUUACAAAGAUGUGCUCAGCCAACCGGAGUCCUUUUCCAGGAAGUUAGACUUGGGAAUAGAGAUGAAUCUAGUUGGCACUGGUACUGCAUUUACAAAGUUACAAGGUAGAGUUGAGGCUGGGAGACGACUCUGACUGGCAGGAAAAUAACAGAUAAGCAGAGGAUCAUGGGAGAAAAAGGAGCCUAGGGCAGACAGGUGGAGAGAAGCUGAGAUAAUAAGUGCAAGAGAGUUUCCUGGGACUCUGCCUUCUCUUGGUGGGUUCCACGAGAGAGGGAGCAAGAGGUACCUGGGUGGCAAGAGUUUUCCAGUCCCCAGUGUGAUCCUCUACUUUUGCCCCUGUCUUGGGGUAUCUUUAGGAGACAUCUGAGCAGCCCCACUAUAUAUACCCUCUUUUAAAAUGAACUUGAAUAAUGAAAAACAACCUGAUAUAUAUAUAUAUAUAUAUAUAUGUAUAUAUAUGUAUAUAUAUAUGUUAUGAAGUGAAAUGAAGUGAAAGUUGUCAGUCAUCUUUGACUCUUUGUGACCCCAUGGGCUAUACAGUCCAUGGGAUUCUCCAGGCCAGAUUACUGGAGUGGGUAGCCUUUCCCUCCUCCAGGAGAUCUUCCCAACCCAGGGAUCGAACCAGGGUCUCCUGCAUUAUAGGCAGAUUCUUUACCUGCUGAGCUAUCAGGGAAUAUUGAAUCACUUUGCUGUAUGCCUGAAACACUGUGCAUCAACUAUACUUUAAUUAAAAAAAAAUCCAUGAGAAAAAAUAUUUUAAAAAUCCAAGAAAAUUUGAUAGAUGCUGAAAAAGCCUUAAAUAAAAACAACAUCCAUGGAAGAUAAAAAUACUCAAGAAAAUAGGAAUUGAGAGUUUCUAACAAGAGCA
ensembl:lincRNA